rfam:Echinicola vietnamensis DSM 17526, complete genome.
UUUGGGGUGACCCAAAAUCUGAAAGAAGCCUAAAACAAAGCUUUGUCCUAAUGAAUAAGAACUGGAUAUAAGGCCUACUUGGAGGAUGAGGUGGCAAUAGACACCGAAGUCCGAAGUCCAAACGUAAUUCAAGGAGGUAAAUCCAGUAGUAUAAAGUAGGUGAUGUUU